UUCCAAGUUGCAGAAUCAAGAAAUUACAAUUCUUGGGAAUUCAUGUCUCACUGCUUAAAUAAAGCAAACAAAAAUUUAGUGCAUAAUUCAUAAUAUUAGACUUUCAUAAUAGUUUAAAAGCCCGACCUAUAUUAUAUAUAAUAUAUACCAGAACUAAUUUGCUUCAAGAUCAUCAUCAUACUAACAGACCUGCUUCAUCUCGCCAAGUCCUGAAAAUACACAAAAGUCAUCAGUUGUUGGCUUCAGUUCAAUGCAUUGAGAUAAAAGUCCGUGUCGAAAGGAGCUUUGAACACUCCCAUUUCCUGAAAGCUACCACCACUGUUACUAUUUGCAGCAGCCAAUGUAUGGUAACGAGGAUCGGAUGAAUGUUGUCCAGCCUGCCAGUAUUGACUGGACAUAUGCGGUGGAAUUGCCUGCAUCAUCUGCUCGGGCAUGCUGGUCUGAUUUGCAUGGUUGAGUGAAACACUCUCAGGCUCGG
rnacentral:misc_RNA from 1 species